rnacentral:rRNA from 1 species
UACAGAGGUCUCAAGCGUUGUUCGGAUUCAUUGGGCGUAAAGGGUGCGUAGGUGGCGCCGUAAGUCGGGUGUGAAAUUUCGGAGCUUAACUCCGAAACUGCAUUCGAUACUGCGGUGCUUGAGGACUGGAGAGGAGACUGGAAUUUACGGUGUAGCAGUGAAAUGCGUAGAGAUCGUAAGGAAGACCAGUGGGGAAGGCGGGUCUCUGGACAGUUCCUGACACUGAGGCACGAAGGCCAGGGGAGCAAACGGG